rnacentral:lncRNA from 1 species
UGGACAUGGUCCUGGUCACCCAGUACUUUGACACCAUGAAAGAAAUCGGUGCUGCUUCUAAAUCUUCGGCUGUGUUCAUCCCUCAUGGUCCUGGAGCUGUUCGUGAUGUCGCCACUCAGAUUCGCGAGGGACUCCUCCAGGCUGCACAUCAGUAACUAAUACACUUAUACUGGGUUUUGCUUAAGGCCAGCAUGCUUUUUUUUUUUUCUUUUUUCCGGACACUAAUUAGUUUUGGUAUUUGUCUGUUUAGUUCUUGGUGCCAUUUUGUUUAGCUGUGGUUGCUUUUUUUUUUUUUUUUGUAUAUAUGUUAUGGCCCUGAAAGGGGUUGUGAAGAACAUUGGGUGCAUAGUUUUCUAUAAAGUAGAUUUUAAGACACCUUUAUGUUGGAUUUUUGUGGAUUUAAAUGUUACCUAUACUGCAAUUUGAAAUUUAAUCUUGAAUUUAAUACGAUAAUAGACAUGAAUUUUUUCUAAGAACAACAUUAAGCAUUUAAUUUACAUAUAAAUAUACUAUUAAUUGAAUAUGAUUAAUUAGAUUUUCAUAUCACUCUAAUUAUCUUAUUUAAUUGACAACUUAAAAAAUUGUGAGUAACUCAUUAGUAAACAUUAUAUGCGUGAGGAUAGGGAUAAAAUGGAAUUCAGGUUUCAUGAUCUUCAAAAUAGUAUGUUGAUUAUUUUAAGAACUUUUUAAGUAACUAUUUAGAAGAAUUUGUGAUAGUAAUUGAUUGUAAUUCAACAAGUUUAUUUUUAGUUUUUUUUUUUAUCUUAACUAUUUUUAUAAUUAUAUUUUGAAAUAAAAUAAAACAUUUUAUUAAAUUAUUGAACUUAAUUAAUAAGUCUAAAUUUUCUUAUAAAUAUGUAUGCAAUUAAUAUAUGUUUGCAUGUAUUUAUAAUAUGAAAAAUAUUUAAUAUCAAUAAACUUGAAAUAUAUAUCAAAACACAUUGGUACCGAUAAUUAUUAGUACCAACAUAAAAAAAUUGAUAUAUCUACCGAUAUUGCAUUGUCUAUUAUUAUAAUAAAAAAUCCCUAAUUAUCGGUGACUCCUAUGAAGUGCGGCAAAAAGAAAAAAAGCAAGUAAAAAAAUGAAAUAAAGUUGUGGAAGAAGGCUACUAUUCCAAUGUUAUGCCAACUUUUAAAAAAUAAUAUACAUUUUCUAAAGUUAGAUCUUGGAUAAUUAUAAAUCAAAACACAUUAUAAAUAUGUUAUUGUUAAAUACAUAACACAUUUUAAAUAUAUUUAUUUAUAGAGAAUAUCAGUAAAACUAGAAAGCGAAUACCCAAAAGAUGAGGAGAAAUUGAAGAGAGAGACCAAAAAUCAGACCAUUAAUGGGUAGUGGUUUGCAUGAAAUUUGGAUCUCAUUUCUCAUUUCACUUGUAUUUAAGAAAGAAUGGGAAUUUGAAACAUUUGAGGAAUAUCAAAUAAAAACUAAAUUAAAAUAGAAUAAAAGGAAAGCCCUGCGUGCAAUACUCACUUCUUGGUUACGUAGGGUUGAAGAAGACAAUUGCCCAAAAUGAAUGUAGUAAAGAUAAUUUUGGUGUUGGGGCUGAUUGUGAUUGCAAAUACUGGGAUAGUCAUGGCUAACAUUGCUCAUUUCGAUGAAGUAUGGG